GAAAUGCGAUACGUAAUGCGAAUUGCAGAAUUCAGUGAAUCAUCAAAUCUUUGAACGCAAAUUGCGCUCUCGGGAUAGGCCUGAGAGCACGCCUCUUUGAGUAUCGAUUCCACCCCCUCCAGAACAAACUUCUUUAUUUGUCGUUUGUCGCUGGGAGUGUGAGUGUUUCACAAUCUGUAUUGUGUCACUUGAAGAAAAAUGGCAUUGAGUGUUUUUUGUACACUUGGAUGGAUUUGUGUUUUUUUCUUCUGAGCCAUGUUGAUAAACGUCAUCGUGGUGAACAAAAAAGAAUGCAAGUUUACUGGAUGUGCAAUGAAAAACAGACCUCAGCCUUAAAAUCGAAUCAAACAAAUCUAAGAAUUAGAUCUCAAAUGAAGCGAGACAACCCGCUGAACUUAA
rnacentral:misc_RNA from 1 species